AAGGGGGACAUCUCGAAGAGAAGCAGCAAGACCUGGGGAUCCGGUGGUUCAUUUUGGUCAUCGCCUGUGAGGCCAGCGUCCGAGCGUAAGAGGAAGCUAGGAGCUGUGUCGAAAAGAGAUGGAACCAAGGACAGCAAAUGCUGACGAAGAGAAGAGACGGACAAGCGUUUUCUUGUGGUUAAUACCGAAGGGACGGGAUGAAACAAGGAAGCCAGAAUGCAGCGGCCCCUCGAUAUCACCAGGAACUGCUGCAGGAGGAGGCGUUCUGGCACGGGUAACUAAGGCAGCUACGGAAAGGAAUAGAUGUCAUCCUUACUUUUUUAGAUUAAUUGCCACGGCUGAAGUUGAAGAGACCAAGAAAGGUACGCACCGAAAGGGCACAUCUUGAAGAGAGGCGGCUAGACCUAGCGAUCCAGUUGUUCGUUUUGGUCGUCGCCUGUGAGGCCAGCGUCCGAGCGUAAGAGGAAGCUAGGAGCUGUCUCAAAAAGAGAUGGAACCAAGGACAGCAAAUGCUGACGAAGAGAAGAGACGGACAAG